GAGUUUGAUCUUGGCUCAGAUUGAACGCUGGCGGCGUGCUUAACACAUGCAAGUCGAGCGGUAACAGGUGUAGCAAUACAUGCUGACGAGCGGCGAACGGGUGAGUAAUGCUUCGGAAUCUGCCCAGUAGUGGGGAAUAACCAGCCGAAAGGUUGGCUAAUACCGCAUACGAACUACGGUUGAAAGCGGGGGAUCGCAAGACCUCGCGCUAUUGGAUGAGCCGAAGUCGGAUUAGCUAGUUGGUAGGGUAACGGCCUACCAAGGCGACAAUCCGUAGCUGGUCUGAGAGGACGACCAGCCACACUGGGACUGAGACACGGCCCAGACUCCUACGGGAGGCAGCAGUGGGGAAUAUUGGACGAUGGGGGUAACCCUGAUCCAGCGACGCCGCGUGUGUGAAGAAGGCCUGCGGGUUGUAAAGCACUUUUAGUGGGGAUGAAAAGCGCGAGGCUAACACCGUCGCGUCUUGACCUAACCCAAAGAAAAAGCACCGGCUAACUCUGUGCCAGCCGCCG
rnacentral:rRNA from 1 species